CGCUUUCAAGGGUGAGUUGGGAACAAUGUGAAUCACAGCUGGAGAAAGUUGUUUUAAAGAACAGCAGGGCACCGAAGAUGAGCAUAUCAGGGAAGCCAGCAUGGCGAGAUUCCAUCUCAUUGGCAAAGGAGCAGGACUUGGGAACACUAAUGUGCUGAUCAGCUUUCGCAGAGCCAACCCCGUCUUGAGCCAAAAUCAGGAGACUUGCGUGGGCUGCUAUGAGUCAGCUAUCUUUCUGAGACGGAACCAGAGCAAACAAGUUCCCUACAUGGACAAAACUCGGGCUGGUAUCAAACAUCUCAACCGCAUAAAGCAGAGGACCAUGAAUUCCAAGGAAGAAGG
rnacentral:lncRNA from 1 species